rnacentral:rRNA from 1 species
AGCGAACGCUGGCGGCAGGCCUAACGCAUGCAAGUCGAACGAACCUUUCGGGGUUAGUGGCGGACGGGUGAGUAACACGUGGGAACGUGCCUUUAGGUUCGGAAUAACUCAGGGAAACUUGUGCUAAUACCGAAUGUGCCCUUCGGGGGAAAGAUUUAUCGCCUUUAGAGCGGCCCGCGUCUGAUUAGCUAGUUGGUUGAGGUAAUGGCUCACCAAGGCGACGAUCAGUAGCUGGUCUGAGAGGAUGAUCAGCCACAUUGGGACUGAGACACGGCCCAAACUCUUACGGGAGGCAGCAGUGGGGAAUCUUGCGCAAUGGGCGAAAGCCUGACGCAGCCAUGCCGCGUGAAUGAUGAAGGUCUUAGGAUUGUAAAAUUCUUUCACCGGGGACGAUAAUGACGGUACCCGGAGAAGAAGCCCCGGCUAACUUCGUG